GGGGUUUUGGGGUCGCCCCCUGACACCCCCCCUCGUUCCAGGCCCAGCCCGGCCCCUCCAAGCCGCAGACGGAGCCCCCCCCCCCGCAGCCGCCGGCGGAGGAGCAGAGCAAAGAGGCGAAGAAGGAGAGCGGCGGCAGCAGCAGCAGCAGCAGCCGGAAGAAGCGGAGCCGGAGCCGGAGCCGGAGCCGCGACCACAGACACAGCCGCAGCCGGGACCGGGACCGGCGCCGCCGCAGCCGCAGCCGCGACCGCCGCAGCCGCCACCGAUCCCGCAGCCGCGAGCGCCGCCGAUCCCGCAGCCGCGAGCGCCGGCGCGACGAGCGAUCCCGGUACCCGAUUUCCCCCUUUUUCGCCCCAAAAUGCCGGUUUUUUAACUACUCCCGUCCCUUUUUCACCGGUUUCUCCGCUUUCGGCCCCGUUUCAGCCGCCGCUUCGGGCACAGCAAGAGCCCGCUGUACCGGGAGAAGAGCCCCGUGCGGUGAGGGGGUCG
rnacentral:lncRNA from 1 species